UACGUAGGGGGCAAGCGUUGUCCGGAUUUAUUGGGCGUAAAGAGCGUGUAGGCGGCUUUACAGGUCCGUUGUGAAAACUCGAGGCUUAACCUCGAGAUGUCGGCGGAAACCAUCUGGCUAGAGUCCGGAAGAGGAGAGUGGAAUUCCUGGUGUAGCGGUGAAAUGCGCAGAUAUCAGGAAGAACACCCGUGGCGAAGGCGGCUCUCUGGGACGGUACUGACGCUGAGACGCGAAAGCGUGGGGAGCGAACAGG
rnacentral:rRNA from 1 species